CUUUUUUUUUUUCCUUCUCUUUUCUCUCGCUCUCCUCCGCUUCUAGCUCCGACCAUGAUUGAAGCAAAGCGUAUAUUGCUCAACCAUGCAUUAGAGGAUCCUCUUAAUCAACCUUUGCUUUUGUUUCUGAUAGUUACUUGAUUUGUUUUUAGCUGCAUCCCUCUGACGAUUUCAACAGCCCAUGUUCCACUUCCCAAGUCGAGGUGCUAAAAAUCAAUUGGUUUCAAAAGCAAUCAAAUGGGAACGAUGCGUGGGUUUCAAAAAAUUCAUACGAGAGACUCUUUUUUCUACGAUACCUGGCAGGAGAGAAGACUACCUUGCAUAACACAGAGAUGUAAUUGAUUAUGGAGAGGCUUUUGUCAUGCGUGGUUUGAUUAAUAACCCGCAACAUCGUGCGGGCCUCCUUUCUA